rnacentral:rRNA from 1 species
UCCUACGGGAGGCAGCAGUGGGGAAUAUUGCACAAUGGGCGAAAGCCUGAUGCAGCCAUGCCGCGUGUAUGAAGAAGGCCUUCGGGUUGUAAAGUACUUUCAGUUGUGAGGAAGGGUGUGUAGUUAAUAGCUGCACAUCUUGACGUUAGCAACAGAAGAAGCACCGGCUAACUCCGUGCCAGCAGCCGCGGUAAUACGGAGGGUGCGAGCGUUAAUCGGAAUUACUGGGCGUAAAGCGCAUGCAGGUGGUUCAUUAAGUCAGAUGUGAAAGCCCGGGGCUCAACCUCGGAACUGCAUUUGAAACUGGUGAACUAGAGUGCUGUAGAGGGGGGUAGAAUUUCAGGUGUAGCGGUGAAAUGCGUAGAGAUCUGAAGGAAUACCAGUGGCGAAGGCGGCCCCCUGGACAGACACUGACACUCAGAUGCGAAAGCGUGGGGAGCAAACAGGAUUAGAUACCCUGGUAGUCCACGCCGUAAACGAUGUCUACUUGGAGGUUGUGGCCUUGAGCCGUGGCUUUCGGAGCUAACGCGUUAAGUAGACCGCCUGGGGAGUACGGUCGCAAGAUUAAAACUCAAAUGAAUUGACGG